UACGUAGGGGGCAAGCGUUGUCCGGAAUCAUUGGGCGUAAAGCGCGUGUAGGCGGUUCAGUAAGUCUGCUGUGAAAGUCCAGGCUCAACCCUGGGAUGCCGGUGGAUACUGCUGGGCUAGAGUACGGAAGAGGCGAGUGGAAUUCCCGGUGUAGCGGUGAAAUUCGUAGAUAUCGGGAGGAACACCAGUGGCGAAGGCGGCGAUCUGGGAAGAUACUGACGCUGAGGUGCGAAAGCGUGGGGGAGCAAACAGG
rnacentral:rRNA from 1 species